rnacentral:rRNA from 1 species
AUUGAACGCUGGCGGCAGGCCUAACACAUGCAAGUCGAGCGGCAGCGGGAAAGUAGCUUGCUACUUUGGCCGGCGAGCGGCGGACGGGUGAGUAAUGCCUGGGGAUCUGCCCAGUCGAGGGGGAUAACUACUGGAAACGGUAUCUAAAUACCGCAUACGCCCUACGGGGGAAAGCAGGGGACCUUCGGGCCUUGCGCGAUUGGAUGAACCCAGGUGGGAUUAGCUAGUUGGUGAGGUAAUGGCUCACCAAGGCGACGAUCUCUAAACUGGUUUGAGAGAAUGACCAGUCACACUGGAUCUGAGACAC